CCGGAUGAAGGCUGGCGGUGCGUUAAUACAUGCAAGUCGAACGAGAAACUAAAUUUAUUUAGCGGAAAGUGGCGGACGAGCGAGUAACACGUAAGCAUCUGCCUUGUACUCAGGGAUAACUCGGCGAAAGUCGAGCUAAUACCGGAUGGUCUCGAAAGAGUAAAGAUUUAUCGGUACAAGAGGAGCUUGCGGGCUAUCAGUUAGUUGGUGGGGUAAAGGCCUACCAAGACUAUGACGGCUACCUGGUGUGAGAGCACGACCAGGUGCGAUGGGACUGAGACACGGCCCAUACUUCUACGGAAGGCAGCAGUAAAGAAUCUUCCGCAAUGGACGAAAGUCUGACGGAGCGACACCGCGUGGUGGAUGACACCCCUAGGGGCGUAAACACCUUUUAUGAGGGAAGAAGAUCUGACGGUACCUCAUGAAUAAGCACCGGCUAAUUACGUGCCAGCAGCCGCGGUAAUACGUAAGGUGCAAGCGUUAUCCGGAAUUAUUGGGCGUAAAGCGUCCGCAGGUUGUUUAUUAAGUUAGUUAUGAAAUACCGAUACUCAACAUCGGUGCUGUAGCUAAAACUAGUAAACUAGAGUAGUGGAGAGGUAUGUGGAAUUGUGCAAGUAGGGGUAAAAUCCGUAGAUAUGCACAGGAACACCAAAAGCGAAGGCAGCAUACUGGACACUUACUGACACUCAGGGACGAAAGCGUGGGGAGCGAAAGGGAUUAGAUACCCCUGUAGUCCACGCCGUAAACGAUGCAUGCUCGGUGUAAGAACCCUCGACCUGGUUCUUGUGCCUAAGGUAACCCGAUAAGCAUGCCGCCUGUGUAGUACGAUCGCAAGAUUAAAACACAAAGGAAUAGACGGGGACCCACACAAGCGGUGGAUUGCGGGGUUUAAUUCGAUAAUAAGCGAGUAACCUUACCCAGACUUGACAUCCUGUUCGUAGAUUUUAGAGAUAAUUUCGUCGGUUCGGCCGGAACAGUGACAGGCGUUGCAUGGUUGUCGUCAGCUCGUGCCUUGAGGUGUGCGGUUAAGUCCGUGAACGAGCGCAACCCUUAUCCUAUGUUGAAUUUUCAUGGGAGACUGCCCAUCAUAAAUGGGAGGAAGGUGAGGAUGACGUCAAAUCAGCAUGACCCUUAUGUCUGGGGCUACACCCACAAUACAAUGGUUGGUACAAACUGAAGCGAAGCAGCGAUGCGGAGCAAAUCGGAUAAACCAAUCUCAGUUCGGAUUGAAGUCUGAAACUCGACUUCAUGAAGUUGGAAUCGCUAGUAAAUGUAUAUCAGUCAUGGUACAUUGAUAUGUUCCUGGUCUUGCACACACCG
rnacentral:rRNA from 1 species